CCCCCGGGGUGGGACACCCGACGAGUGCCCGAGCCUUGGAGCUCAGGAACACAGGUGGAGCCACGCGGUGCAGUCCCCCUGGGGCACAAUCCACUUGAGAAACAGAGAGAGACAGAGCACGAGUAGGGGAGAGGAGAAGAAGAG